rnacentral:rRNA from 1 species
AACGAACGCUGGCGGCAGGCUUAACACAUGCAAGUCGAGCGCCCCGCAAGGGGAGCGGCAGACGGGUGAGUAACGCGUGGGAACGUACCCUUUGCUACGGAAUAGCUCCGGGAAACUGGAAUUAAUACCGUAUGUGCCCUACGGGGGAAAGAUUUAUCGGCAAAGGAUCGGCCCGCGUUGGAUUAGCUAGUUGGUGGGGUAAUGGCCUACCAAGGCGACGAUCCAUAGCUGGUCUGAGAGGAUGAUCAGCCACAUUGGGACUGAGAAACGGCCCAAACUCCAACGGGAGGCAGCAGUGGGGAAUAUUGGACAAUGGGCGCAAGCCUGAUCCAGCCAUGCCGCGUGAGUGAUGAAGGCCUUAGGGUUGUAAAGCUCUUUCACCGGAGAAGAUAAUGACGGUAUCCGGAGAAGAAGCCCCGGCUAACUUCGUGCCAGCAGCCGCCGUAACAC